AACGAACGCUGGCGGCAGGCUUAACACAUGCAAGUCGAGCGCCCCGCAAGGGGAGCGGCAGACGGGUGAGUAACGCGUGGGAAUCUACCCAUCUCUACGGAAUAACGCAUGGAAACGUGUGCUAAUACCGUAUACGUCCUUCGGGAGAAAGAUUUAUCGGAGAUGGAUGAGCCCGCGUUGGAUUAGCUAGUUGGUGGGGUAAAGGCCUACCAAGGCGACGAUCCAUAGCUGGUCUGAGAGGAUGAUCAGCCACACUGGGACUGAGACACGGCCCAGAAGCCUACGGGAGGCAGCAGUGGGGAAUAUUGGACAAUGGGCGCAAGCCUGAUCCAGCCAUGCCGCGUGAGUGAUGAAGGCCCUAGGGUUGUAAAGCUCUUUCACCGGUGAGGAUAAUGACGGUAACCGGAGAAGAAGCCCCGGCUAACUUCGUGCCAGCCGCCGCGGUAACAC
rnacentral:rRNA from 1 species